AAUCUUGUCCGAGGAAUUAAUGAACAUUCACCAUGUGAAACAGCACCGCAAGAACAACAACUUCAAUGUAACCGGCCUCGUUGCGACUCGACUAGUUCUUUGAGCUGCAGUACUUCUUCGUCAUCAAUACCAUCAAUUAUUGAAGACUCUGACGACUCAGUGAAGGAUCCUGAUUACGAAUUAGUUCAAGAUCAACGAAAAAUUGAAAGUUCUAGUGAAGAUAAAGAUAUAAUUAUGGACGACAACGAAUAUCCUAAUAAGACUGAUAUGCGUACUAUACAGACUGAU